GUGGGGGAUAUUGCACAAUGGGGGAAACCCUGAUGCAGCGACGCCGCGUGGAGGAAGAAGGUUUUCGGAUUGUAAACUCCUGUCGUUAGGGACGAUAAUGACGGUACCUAACAAGAAAGCACCGGCUAACUACGUGCCAGCAGCCGCGGUAAAACGUAGGGUGCAAGCGUUGUCCGGAAUUACUGGGUGUAAAGGGAGCGCAGGCGGACCGGCAAGUUGGAAGUGAAAACUAUGGGCUCAACCCAUAAAUUGCUUUCAAAACUGCUGGCCUUGAGUAGUGCAGAGGUAGGUGGAAUUCCCGGUGUAGCGGUGGAAUGCGUAGAUAUCGGGAGGAACACCAGUGGCGAAGGCGACCUACUGGGCACCAACUGACGCUGAGGCUCGAAAGCAUGGGUAGCAAACAGGAUUAGAAACCCCAGUAGUCC
rnacentral:rRNA from 1 species